GGCUGCAGAGAACAGGAUUUGGAUUGGC
rnacentral:piRNA from 1 species